ensembl:snRNA U2 U2 spliceosomal RNA
AUUAAUACCUUUAAUAAGGUUGAAGUUUAAAAAAAAUCUGUUUAUCACUUUAAUAUCUGCUACAUCCCCUAUUUGGGGACCAUAUGUUAAGUUGAUUUUUGGGACAGGGAGAUGGAAGAGGAGCUUGCACCGUCCACUCCACGCAUCGACCUUGUAUUGCAGUAUCUCCAGAACCGGUGCACCCCGC